GACAGAGGGUGCAAACGUUGUUCGGAAUUACUGGGCGUAAAGCGCGUGUAGGCGGCCCAGCAAGUCGGAUGUGAAAGCCCUGGGCUUAACCUAGGAAGUGCAUUCGAAACUGCUGGGCUUGAGUUCUGGAGAGGAAGGCGGAAUUCUCGGUGUAGAGGUGAAAUGCGUAGAUAUCGAGAGGAACACCUGCGGCGAAGGCGGGUUGCUGGGCUGACACUGACGCUGAUUGUGCGAAAGCUAGGGGAGCGAACGGG
rnacentral:rRNA from 1 species